rnacentral:lncRNA from 1 species
GUAAAUGUAUUUAUUAUGUGAUAGAAAGUUUGAAAGUAAUGUUUGGUAAGUCAUAAUAUGUUGUGUUUAAAAUUGCGGGAUUACAAAGAAAUAGUCCGACCUCCUAUGAUGAAAGACUUAAUAUGAUCAAACAGUUAUCGUGGUCCUUUAAUUCGUAGUUGUCAGGUAAAACAAAAUAAAAGAUUAGUAUGUAGAAAAGAGGUUUCAAUUCAAGGCAUGGUAAAUAUGAUGCUUAAAAAAUCGAUUUUGGUUGAGAAACUGCAAAAUAGCAGUAUAAAAAAUGAGUUUUAUGAAAAAAAAAUGUAUUCACUACUUUAAUUCCAAUUAACAACUUUUUAAAUGACUGUUAUAAAUUGAUGAACUAUAACUAAGGAAUUUUAGAAAUAAAAAAAAUCGGGAAAUUGAUUUAUUAGCAACACAUAGAUAAAGCCAGAGGAAUCCGAAUAUCAACAAUGUUUUUAUUGCAC